CACCAGUAAACAGAGGUGGGGAGGCUCGCACACAGGCGGUGCUAACGCAGCUCCUCCGAGAGAAACACGGCGGAGCCAAGGCACCAGGUCACUUAAAUCUCUCCAAAUUUCAGGGGAGCCUUGACAACACCUCAGGUCAGUAUUUUGGACUAUUAACCAACACUUUUCCCCCUAGCAUUUCCUCCUUCCAUACUUUGUCGCUUUCCUUCUCCUGCACCCAAAUUCUGCCCUGUGUCAUUGUCUCAGGGGAGGGGUAUGACCUCAGAGCAGAAGGAGGAGAUUCCCGGCUUUGAGUUGAAAACUCCUGGGCCGUAAGGCUGCAGCAAGGGCCACGCUAGUGAAAUCUGGA
rnacentral:lncRNA from 1 species